rnacentral:rRNA from 1 species
GACGAACGCUGGCGGCGUGCUUAACACAUGCCAGUCGAACGGAAAGGCCCUGCUUUUGUGGGGUGCUAGAGUGGCGAACGGGUGAGUAACACUUGAGUAACCUGCCCUUGGCUUUGGGAUAACGUCAGGAAACUGGGGCUAAUACCGGAUAGGAGCUCCUGCUGCAUGGUGGGGGUUGGAAAGUUUCGGCGGUUGGGGAUAGACUCGCGGCUUGUCAGCUUGUUGGUGGGGUAGUGGAUUACCAAGGCUUUGACGGGUAGCCGGCCUGAGAGGGUGACCGGCAACAUUGGGACUGAGCUACGGCACAGACUCCUACGGGAGGCAGCAGUGGGGAAUAUUGCAUAAUGGGCGGAAGCCUGAUGCAGCAACGCCGCGUGCGGGAUGACGGCCUUCGUGUUGUAAACCGCUUUCGCCUGUGACGAAGCGUGAGUGACGGUAAUGGGUAAAGAAGCACCGGCUAACUACGUG